CUCGCACCAAGACAUUCGCAGCAGAUGCUUUAAAUCCUGCAAGUUGCUUGGUGGGGAUCCAUGGAUCAGAUUUGUUGUUCCAACACAUCACACAGAUGCUCAGUCGCAUUGAGAUCUAGGGAAAUUGGAGGCCAAAGCAACACCUCUUUGUCAUUUUCCUCAAACUCAAAUUAGAAAGUUAUCUAUUAAAUAGCUGAAAGAUCAAAAUUAAG